UGGGGAAUUUUGGACAAUGGGCGAAAGCCUGAUCCAGCCAUGCCGCGUGAGUGAAGAAGGCCUUCGGGUUGUAAAGCUCUUUUAGUCGGAAAGAAAGAGUUGCAAUGAAUAAUUGUGAAUUAUGACGGUACCGACAGAAAAAGCACCGGCUAACUACGUGCCAGCAGCCGCGGUAAUACGUAGGGUGCGAGCGUUAAUCGGAAUUACUGGGCGUAAAGGGUGCGCAGGCGGUCUUGCAAGUCAGAUGUGAAAGCCCCGGGCUUAACCUGGGAAUUGCGUUUGAAACUACAAGACUAGAGUGCAGCAGAGGGGAGUGGAAUUCCAUGUGUAGCAGUGAAAUGCGUAGAGAUGUGGAAGAACACCGAUGGCGAAGGCAGCUCCCUGGGUUGACACUGACGCUCAUGCACGAAAGCGUGGGGAGCAAACA
rnacentral:rRNA from 1 species